GUCUGUGUAGGAAAGAAAAAAGAGAAAAAAAGAAAGUUGUUGAUUGUUUUGAUCUGUUUUUCUUCGGCGGAUGAGUUCGAUUCGCUGUUUGUUUCCAGUCUGUGUGUGUACUAGUUUUGCUGUUUGUUGUCUGAUUUGACUUUCCGUGAUAUGGCGAAACUUUUCCAGCUGGUGACAGAAUUAUCCUAACCUGAAAUUCUGCGUAUGUCAAGAAUUGCUACUUGGCAAUUCACCAACUCAGGCGCUGUUUUGUUUUGUACAUCCUGCGCCGUAGAAGAUGAUAUCUGGAUCGGGAGAAAGUUCAAACAGUUGGGAAAAUAAAUAUUCUGGUGUCAGCCAUGAAUCACCACCAACAGGCGUGCUACCAAGUAUAAACUUGCCUUUGUUUGUUUUAGAUGUUCGAAGACAGAACGGAGGGGGGAACUGUUUGGAUGAUGAAUUCCAUUGCCAAAACAAACAUGACCCUGAAUAUAUUGGUAGCAUGAAUCAGUGCUCUACCAAGCUCAUCGAUAACAAUUUAUCACAAUAAGGAAUCUACGAACAUAAAUUCUCUGGCGGGUGAGAAUCCUUCAGAAAUAAACGGCUUUUUAAAGAUCCAA